UACGAAGGGGGCUAGCGUUGCUCGGAUUUACUGGGCGUAAAGGGCGCGUAGGCGGAUCAGCAAGUUGGGGGUGAAAGCCCGGGGCUCAACCUCGGAACUGCCCUCAAAACUGUUGAUCUAGAGUUUGGGAGAGGUGUGUGGAACUCCGAGUGUAGAGGUGAAAUUCGUAGAUAUUCGGAAGAACACCAGUGGCGAAGGCGACACACUGGCCCAACACUGACGCUGAGGCGCGAAAGCGUGGGGAGCAAACAGG
rnacentral:rRNA from 1 species